rnacentral:rRNA from 1 species
UACGUAGGGGCCGAGCGUUGUCCGGAGUUACUGGGCGUAAAGCGCGCGCAGGCGGCUCGUCAAGCCUGACGUGAAAGCCCCCGGCUCAACCGGGGAGGGUCGUCGGGGACUGGCGGGCUUGAGGUCGGCAGGGGUUGGUGGAAUUCCCGGUGUAGUGGUGAAAUGCGUAGAAAUCGGGAGGAACACCCGUGGCGAAGGCGGCCAACUGGGCCGGCCCUGACGCUGAGGCGCGAAGGCGUGGGGAGCGAACGGG